CGGAACUAGAGACCGGCGCACGGGUGCGUAACGCGUAUGCAAUCUACCUUUCACAGAGGGAUAGCCCAGAGAAAUUUGGAUUAAUACCUCAUAGUAUUAUAGAGUGGCAUCACUUUAUAAUUAAAGUCACAACGGUGAAAGAUGAGCAUGCGUCCCAUUAGCUAGAUGGUAAGGUAACGGCUUACCAUGGCAACGAUGGGUAGGGGUCCUGAGAGGGAGAUCCCCCACACUGGUACUGAGACACGGACCAGACUCCUACGGGAGGCAGCAGUGAAGAAAUUUUUGAAAGGGGGCGCAAGCCUGAACCAGCCAUGCCGCGUGCAGGAUGACGGUCCUAUGGAUUGUAAACUGUUUUUUUUUUUUAAAAAAACAAAAUAACGUGUAAUGUCUUGACGGUAUCGUAAGAAUAAGGAUCGGCUAACUCCGUGCCAGCAGCCGCGGUAAUACGGAGGAUCCAAGCGUUAUCCGGAAUCAUUGGGUUUAAAGGGUCCGUAGGCGGUUUAGUAAGUCAGUGGUGAAAGCCCAUCGCUCAACGGUGGAACGGCCAUUGAUACUGCUAGACUUGAAUUACUAGGAAGUAACUAGAAUAUGUAGUGUAGCGGUGAAAUGCUUAGAGAUUACAUGGAAUACCAAUUGCGAAGGCAGGUUACUACUAGUGGAUUGACGCUGAUGGACGAAAGCGUGGGGAGCGAACAGGAUUAGAUACCCUGGUAGUCCACGCCGUAAACGAUGGAUACUAGCUGUUGGGGGCAACUUCAGUGGCUAAGCGAAAGUGAUAAGUAUCCCACCUGGGGAGUACGGGCGCAAGCCUGAAACUCAAAGGAAUUGACGGGGGCCCGCACAAGCGGUGGAGCAUGUGGUUUAAUUCGAUGAUACGCGAGGAACCUUACCAAGGCUUAAAUGUAGAUUGACCGAUUUGGAAACAGAUCUUUCGCAAGACAAUUUACAAGGUGCUGCAUGGUUGUCGUCAGCUCGUGCCGUGAGGUGUCAGGUUAAGUCCUAUAACGAGCGCAACCCCUGUUGUUAGUUGCCAGCGAGUCAUGUCGGGAACUCUAACGAGACUG
rnacentral:rRNA from 1 species